UGAUAUAUGCUUGUGUCAAGGACUAAGCCAUGCAAAUGUGAGAAAAACGUUGGAAAUGUGAUUCAGUGGAUGGCUUAAUAAAAAAGGGAAAAGAGGAGGAGAGAAAAGUAGUAACGGAUAACAAUGGGAAAACUAUUGAUAAGACGAGAAGAGAGAGAACGUGAAGGAGGAAAGAAUCAGAGUUAUGAAAGGGCGGAGAAGGUCCAGCUCUCCACACUUCCUUUAUCCAUCAGAAAGAAUUAUGUGUAGGGGACAUAAUUUUCAGUGACGGAUACGGAGAAUAAGGGUUUGAUUCCGAAGAUGGAGCAUGAGAGAUGGCUACAGAUUCUAAGGGAUGCAGCAGGCGCGAAAAUUAUCCAAUGAGCAAGAGCUCGAGAUAGUGACAAUACAUAACAAUAGGGGGUGGUGAAGAACCGCGUUCUAAUUGGAAUGAGAACGAAGAAAAGAGAUUAACGAGAAACAAGU
rnacentral:rRNA from 1 species